GACGAACGCUGGCGGCGUGCUUAACACAUGCAAGUCGAACGAAGAGCGAUGGAAGCUUGCUUCUCUCAAUCUUAGUGGCGAACGGGUGAGUAACGCGUAAUCAACCUGCCCUUCAGAGGGGGACAACAGUUGGAAACGACUGCUAAUACCGCAUACGAUCUAACCUCGGCAUCGAGGAUAGAUGAAAGGUGGCCUCUACAUGUAAGCUAUCACUGAAGGAGGGGAUUGCGUCUGAUUAGCUAGUUGGAGGGGUAACGGCCCACCAAGGCGAUGAUCAGUAGCCGGUCUGAGAGGAUGAACGGCCACAUUGGGACUGAGACACGGCCCAGACUCCUACGGGAGGCAGCAGUGGGGAAUCUUCCGCAAUGGACGAAAGUCUGACGGAGCAACGCCGCGUGAGUGAUGACGGCCUUCGGGUUGUAAAGCUCUGUUAAUCGGGACGAAAGGCCUUCUUGCGAAUAGUUAGAAGGAUUGACGGUACCGGAAUAGAAAGCCACGGCUAACUACGUG
rnacentral:rRNA from 1 species